rnacentral:rRNA from 1 species
UACGUAGGGUGCAAGCGUUAUCCGGAAUUAUUGGGCGUAAAGAGCUCGUAGGCGGUUUGUCGCGUCGGUUGUGAAAACCCAAGCUCAACCUUGGGCCUGCAAUCGAUACGGGCAGACUAGAGUACUGCAGGGGAGACUGGAAUUCCUGGUGUAGCGGUGGAAUGCGCAGAUAUCAGGAGGAACACCAAUAGCGAAGGCAGCUCGCUGGGACGUUACUGACAC